rnacentral:lncRNA from 1 species
AUUCAGUGCGUCAUAAGCGUCGUUGCUGCAGAUAUAAUGCAAACAAAUCCUGUUAAAUCUGCUGUCUCUGUCUGUUCACCUUUACUCUAAAACUCAAAUCAGCUCAUAUUAGUUCUUAAACUGCAAGUACUACCCCUGUGCACAGUGAGACAUGCUAAAAACUAUGUAUAAUAUUAAUAUAGGAUGUGAUUAUUAACAGGAUGUAUGUUUUAGAUAGAGAGGAAGUGUGUGUUGUGGUUUUGGGUGGUGUGUGAGUUCAUCGUCAUGCCAACAACCCAGAUACAGAUCUCAACUGGUACGAUGAAGAUUCCUCGUGUCUGAGGUUCUCAUUUUGACCUGAUGUUCAACUCUGACUGAAGGAGGAGUCAUUAGUCAGUGCCGGAGACUCCCUCCACAUUAUCUGCGGAGCUAAAAACUGACGAGCUGAUUCAACAGAUGUAAAAAAGAUCAAUUAUAGGGAAGUAACACUCAUAACAGGAAGUAAAUGCUGUAUCUGUCUUAAAGAAGCAUUCGUUCAGAGACUUUGACAGUUGAGGGCGUGAGAACAAGAGAUAACGAGAGAGAAGCAAGAUGGUUCAAUUCAAAUGGAUUAAAAUGUCUUUAUUUAUGAUACUGGUGCUUCUGUUUACAGGUAAGGAUACACAUACACAUAGACAAACUAAGACUAAUAGUAUUUAAGUAACUAAGAUUAAUUUAAGUAAGAUGGCCAUGGAUUCUUGUAUAAGGGACAUAUGCUAUUGUUUAUGUAUUUGAUAUUAUCCUCACACAUUACUAUAAACAUUAAUGUCAUACUCUUCGCACAGUUAAUCUUGUAUAAUUAUCUUUCAUCUUCAAUAGCAGUAACUGGACAAAAGUUCCCCUCCUUCACUGUCAGAGCUGGAGAUGAAGUCACUUUGCCUUGUGAAAAUGUGAUUAAAAAUCAGAACAAAUGUGACACAACCACUUGGAUUGCCACUAAAUCAUCUGGGGGAACAGCAAGAGAGCUGGUUACUCUUGGGAAGAUUAGUCAAACUGGGAUUUCCAAAGAUAAAUCAGACAGACUGAGUGUUACAGCAAACUGUUCUCUGGUUAUAAAGAAGGUCACAGACGAGGAUGUUGGUCGUUACACCUGCAGACAGUUUAUAACAGGACAACAAGGUUCAGACUCUGUGGUUGAGCUGUCUGUCAUUAACAUGACUGAACAUCAGACGAAUGAUACAGUCAUCUUGUUCUGCGCUGUGUUGACAUAUGAAGGCUGUGGACACUCAGUGAAGUGGCUGUAUGAUGGUGAUGAUAAGAAUGACACUGAGAUAUCACAGUAUACCUGUGGAUCCAGAGUGGGAUUUACAAUUUCUCGUCUCAAGCAGAAGUCAAACUAUUAUGCGUUACUCAAGUGUAACGUGACAGAUGAUAAGAGAGGACAAACGCUGCUGUGUGAUGUUGGUCCCCAGUCCUCAUGUGAGAAAACAGGUACAGUUUAAAAUUUAAUUAUUUUAUUUCAUUUUGUCUCAUCAGAUGGUAACAUGAGGUAUUUUGUCACAAUUUGUUGUUUUAUUUCAUAUCAUAUUCAACAAAAUCAAAAGGAAGCAAAGGGAAUAUCAAGACUGCAGAGGAUGACACUUCAACACAAGGUAGUGACUUAUCUCUCUAUCUCGUGUUUGUGUCUUUAUGUUAUGUUUUUUUUUUUUUUAUGUCUUUAUGUUUUUAUUCUCCUUCCAGACUGGUGGCGGUUCAUCAUUGUGGCUGUGGGUUUAGCCGCACUUUUAAUUAUCUGUGUGGCUGUCAUCAGAUGGAAGAAAACCAAAGGUGAGAUCAACCAUGAAAAGACAUUUGGAUUAACCUGGAUUUUCACAGUGGAAACUAAAGUCGACUCUCUUUGUCUUUUUAGGUGACAGAACACAGAUGGAUGAAAACAAAGUGAGUUGUAAACCUCAAUAAUCAAAUGUUUAUUAUAUUGCAUUGACACUACUCAGUUGCAGCUGGCCAGGGUUAAAAAUGUUGAAAAUAUUUCAGAUUCAGAAUGUAUUUAGGGAAAAAACAAACAGGGGAAGAACAAUGGAAAACUAUGACUAUGACUGUGACUAUGACUGUAACUGUGACUGUGUUUUCACAGGGACUGAGCUUAAACCCUGCAGGGACUCCAGAAACCAGCCAGCAAAUGGUGAGAUCACACACUACGCCCAAUACAAAUUAAAUUUUUUUCAAACUUCCUUGUGCAACAGAGAAAAAGAGAAGUUAAUCAUGCAACUACACUAGAAUGCCCGCAGUCAGUAACACAUGUUGUGUUCUCUGUGCAGCUGGAUCCUGAAGAUGGUGUUUCUUACGCCUCCAUCAGCUAUAGGACGACCAACAGUAAAGCCCGGGUAAGCUCUCUGAUUGGUUGGCAGUGAAGAAACAAGACUAAGAUUCAGCAACCAUGUCAGUGCCUCUUUGAGGCUGCACAGAGGUGGUUUUUGAGUUAAAUGCGUCAUGCAGCAUGCUAACCACAUCCACGAUGCUAACAUUCUCACCACUGAUAACGCUAGUAUCUGAUAGUGCUGAUGCUAAUCUUAGCCACAGUAUCUCAGCAUCUUAGCACUAAACACAAAAUACAGCUAAGGAUGAUGGUAAUGUAGUUUUACAAGUAUUUGGUCUUGGUAUUGGAGAAACUGACAUUUUGAACAGAAUUUGGCACAAAAAGUUAAAGGGCCAUGGCUAAAAAUCAUGGGGGGGGACUGAAAUUGCACACAUAAUGUUAAUUCAUCUUAUAAUUGUUAAGACUUUUCACUUUUCAUAACCACAAAUGUUCACCUCAUGGUGGCACUAGAGGAAAAGACAGGGAAUCUCUAUAUUCUUUACAGGACCAAUCUGUAGGAUUUAGUGGUGAAGUUGCAGAUUGCAACAAACUGAAUACCACUCACCUUCCAUGCAUGUAGGAGAAAGUAUGGUGGCCACAAAUCUAUCUAGAGCCAGUGUUUGGUUUGUCUAGAACAGGCGAAACACUGUUUGGGUGUUUUGAGCUCAUACAUUACGGUUAUGGUGUGUUUCUGUAUGUUUUGUUGUAUUUCAUUGCAUCAUUUGUUGUGUUCGUUUGUUUUUCAGUGUCGGGGUGCUGCUUUGCUCUGCUUUACCGUUGUAAUGUGCUGAAUUAUGUUGUGUCAUGUCCUGUUGUAUAAUUUAUGUGUUGUGCUGUUUCUCUUUUAUUUUAAAGGUUUGCGAUAAAGGUGAUGAUGAAGCAGUGACCUACGCCACCGUGAAAGAUGCUUCCUCCCCUUCUACUGAAGCCUCUGCUGAAGCCUCUGCUGAUCCCAGCAACCUCUACGCCACCGUCAACAAACCAAACAAAUAAGAGACCACAGUAUAGUUACAGCUCAUAUCAUCACACCUAUUUAAGUUUGUUUUUUCACUCAUACUGUGUUGUAUUAUAAGAUUGUACAUGCAGUCAAAAUCCUACAGUGUUUAAAAUAUAUUUAUAUUUUUGAGCAUAACUUGGCUUGGCAGGUUGUUACAAUGAUAAUAUUGUAGUUUUGCAUUUCAGUUCUCACAUGAACAUGUUAAAAAAAUUUUCUGUUACAAUUAUUUUUAUGAUCAUUUUUAGGACUUGGCUUUUCUGUCCAGAAGGGGGUGUAGUAGGUUUACAAGUAGCAAGUAGAAAGUAAGAUCCUGACAUUCAUACCACUUAUCUCUUGUAAACUUUAUUGAGCUCUGUGAUGGGUUUUGUCACUUUUAUUUUGUGAAACACUUUUAAAAAUAAACUCAAAACUCAACUUUUGCAUCAGUUUUCUGCCCUAAAUACUAAACUACAGUCAUCCAACUUAUACUGCAUUUUUGUAUGUGUGUUGUCUCCCUUCUCUAUCUUUUGUUGCUAUCAUUGUUGUAUUUUGUAUGCAUUUUAGUUUAUUUAAAUAUUUUUGGUCUUGUCCCAUAAAAAACUUUAUAUACAUAUGUUCAUAGUUUUUUAUAUUUACUUUGUAUAUACUUUGUCUGUAUCAUGUAAUAGUAAGGUGUUUAAUUUGAACUAAAAAUAAAGAUGAGAUGAAGUGGCU